ensembl:lncRNA novel transcript
CAGCUGUCCUGAGAGCACGUCUCUACAUCUAUACCUGCAUUCUGGAAUCAGGGAGAAAGCCAAAACGGAUGACAAGACACUAGGUCAGCCGCCUCCAACCCUUUGACUACAAGGACUUUUCCACCUAUCUGUGGUGAGACAGGGUCUCACUAUAUUGUCCAGGUUAGUCUCAAACUCCUUGACUCAAGGGAUCCAGGACAGGAUAACAGGUGUGAGCCACCACAUCUGGCCAUGUGCAUGAACUUUUAAGACAAACACAAGGCCCCACAAAAGGGUUCCAGGCAAGUCAGUUCUCCCUCAGGCCUUCGGUUUCCUCACCCACAAGAUGAGAGGGCUGGACCAGAUGGAAAUUCAGGGG